rnacentral:tRNA from 1 species
AUUUAAAUAGUUUAAAAAAAAUAUUGAUUUGUGGUAUCAAAGAUGUAGUUAUACUUUAAAUU